GCUGCCUUCAGCGCGUUUUGAAUAGGUUUUUGGCGUGUAGUUGUUUGGUGGCCGUCCGUCCGAAUAAUAAUGCUUGAUUUUGUUGUUGUGGGGGGUGCUAGGCUUCUUGCUUGGAUGUCUUUGUGUAGGCAGAUGCUAAGGAAGUCUUCUUCGAGCUGUUUUGGCCGGGUCAAGUUUUAAAGAGCGGAUCAUCGAAGAGGUCAAAAUUAAUAGAUUCUUUUAUUGUGGCUGAACUUUUUGUGGCAAACGGUAAGUGGGGAUUGGUUGAGGCCUUUCACUAGCGCUUCAGUUGGUUGUGUA
rnacentral:lncRNA from 1 species